AUGAUAGCCUUCAGGGAUACCUUGGAGGUGUGUGAUCUAGUUGAGCUUGGGUUCACGGGCCUGCCUUUCACAUACGAUAAUAGAAGAGCGAGGUCGGCUAACAUCAAGGUGAGAUUGGACCGCGCGGUAGCUACAAAUGAUUGGUGUAAUCUGUUCGCCUUUGCUGCUGUGGAGCACAUAUUGUCUCCAUGUUCAGACCACCUCGUUGUGUUUCUUAAAGGAGAACCGGACUCGGGACCGGUGAAGGAGAAGUGCAGAAGGUAUGAGGUUUUUUGGGAGAGGGACUCGGCGCUGCCACAUGUGGUGGAAGAUGCAUGGGCAGCGGUAGGGGAGAUUCACAGCCUCCCGCAGCUGAAAGAAGCCUUGUCUAAAACAAUGACUGCGCUACGGUUAUGGAGUAAGAAAUUUGGCAAUGUGACACGGGAACUUGCCAAGUCAAGAAGCCAGCUGGAGGAGCUUAUGAAUAUGAAUGCGAACUGGGAAGAUAUAAGGAGAGUGAUGUGA
rnacentral:rRNA from 1 species